rnacentral:misc_RNA from 1 species
UUCGAGCGUCAUAAUGACCAAAUCACCCUCGUGGUGGACUUGGAGUUGGCCUGUACUGGCCUCUCUUAAAAUCAGUGGCGGUGCUCUUAAGCUCUACGCGUAGUAAUUUUCUCGCUACAGGGUCUUGCUAGUACUUGCCAACAACCCCAACUUAUCACAAGGUUGACCUCGGAUCAGGUAGGGAUACCCGCUGAACUUAA